UACGGAGGGUGCAAGCGUUAUCCGGAUUCACUGGGUUUAAAGGGUGCGUAGGUGGGCAGGUAAGUCAGUGGUGAAAUCUUUGGGCUUAACCCGAAAACUGCCAUUGAUACUAUCUGUCUUGAAUAUAGUGGAGGUGAGCGGAAUAUGUCAUGUAGCGGUGAAAUGCUUAGAUAUGACAUAGAACACCCAUUGCGAAGGCAGCUCGCUACACUAUCAUUGACACUGAGGCACGAAAGCGUGGGGAUCAAACAGG
rnacentral:rRNA from 1 species